UACGAAGGGAGCUAGCGUUGUUCGGAAUCACUGGGCGUAAAGCGCACGUAGGCGGACGUGUCAGUCAGGGGGUGAAAUCCCGGAGCUCAACUUCGGAACUGCCUUUGAUACAGCACGUCUUGAGUCCGGAAGAGGUGGGUGGAAUUCCUAGUGUAGAGGUGAAAUUCGUAGAUAUUAGGAAGAACACCGGUGGCGAAGGCGCCCACUGGUCCGGUACUGACGCUGAGGUGCGAAAGCGUGGGGAGCAAACAGG
rnacentral:rRNA from 1 species